GAUGAAGAACGCAGCGAAAUGCGAUAAGUAAUGUGAAUUGCAGAAUUCAGUGAAUCAUCGAAUCUUUGAACGCACAUUGCGCCCGCUAGUAUUCUGGCGGGCAUGCCUGUUCGAGCGUCAUUUCAACCAUCAAGCCCCAGGCUUGUGUUGGGGUCCUGCGGCUGCCGCAGGCCCUGAAAACCAGUGGCGGGCUCGCUAGUCACUCCGAGCGUAGUAAUACAUCUCGCUCAGGGCGUGCUGUGGGUUCCGGCCGUUAAAAAGCCUUAUUUACCCAAGGUUGACCUCGGAUCAGGUAGGAAGACCCGCUGAACUUAAGCAUAUCAAUAAGCGGAGGA
rnacentral:misc_RNA from 1 species